CAGAAGAUUAGCAUGGCCCUUGCAGAAGUAUGACACUCAAAUUUGUGAAGUGUUCUCUAUGGAA
ensembl:snRNA U6 U6 spliceosomal RNA